CUCUCCUUUGCUUGCCUUUAUUUAUAGCGUAGACUUUAAAGCAAAAAGUCACACAAAAUUAUACUCGAUUUAAUUUUCCAGUCCAGUUGCCAGCUGCCCUAACGCUCCUGUCCUGCCGCUGCGCCGGCUAGUUGAGGCUCUCUCUCGGGUUCGGUUUUCGGUGUCAAGUUUGACUGCGCCGGCCAUGGGCUCCGGCUUGGGCUUGGGUUCAGACACUGGCUUGGGCUCAGUCUCUGGUUCUGGUUUCACAGUUGACGUUAUGCAUUGAAAUUAAUUAAAUCACAGCAAACUGCGCCGCAGUCGCCUCGCUGUUUGUUUGUUGCCUUUCCCAUUGUUUGCCUAUUGUUUUUGUUGCUGUUGCCAUCUUCCUGUUGUUGUCAACCAAACACCAAAGCACCAGCGCCAGCCGCGUUUGUAGCCUUUUAAUUAGUUGGCAGGACCACGAACACAGAACCAGAAGGCGGACUGAAGUUGCAACUAGUUAUUUCGAAUCGUUGACUUAUUGUCUAUGGAUCGUUUUGCUGCUAGUCGCUCGAGACGGCUCUGAAGUGCCUGUGGUGUGUGCGAUGUGGUUUACAUUCAUGUACUUCAACGUUUGAAAACAUCAUUGGUUGAAACCAAUUUAAAAAAGUCGCUUUAAAUUCGGUAUGUUUGAAAAUUAAUCAAGUCCUGCACUCAUAUAUAUAAGUAUUUGCCGAACGGGCAGAAGGUGCCGGCGACUAAUGUCCAAGUUAACAAAGCAGCCGGCCCAGCCCGAAGGUAAAAUGCUGCGAAGGCAAACAAAAGCCGGAAGCUCUAAUGGAAAUUUGAACAAGAGUGGCGGGCAGAUAAGAUGGGACGGGUUGAAUUGAGUCGAGCUGAGCUGAGCUGAACUGAACUGUUUUGAAUGAGGAGCGUGAAGCUGACAAAUCAGGGGGUGGGCUUGAAGUGUUUCAUGUGUGGGCGUGGCAUGCAAAUGAAAAUGCAUUUAUUUAUAAAGCAAACGACAAAAGUCCCAAGUGCCAGGCAUUGCCAUAAACGUGAGAAAACCAACUCCGUGUCGAGCAACAGGAUGUGUCUGCCUCUCUGUAUCUGUCUCUGAAUGUAUCUUUAUCCGUAUCGCUACAUGGCAGCCAUGGAGCGAAAUGCAAAACUGCACUUGUCUGCUGUGUGCUGCCUAACUACCUAUUGGCUGUGCACACUCGGAUACCCAUCCGCAUGUCGCCUGCCCACGCCCGAACCACUUGGAUCUGUUGGCAAUUUUAUUGACAAGCAUUUGUGAGGGCGACGUUCCAGCUGGUGGGUAUGGCAUUCGCUAACCCUUUUUGCUCUGGAAUGCCACCGGGGCUGAGGGGCAGCAUGUUGGACCUGGUUCGCACUGCCAGCUCUCAACCCUCAUGCACGACAAUCCCCGAGCCCAACCCGAAAACGCACUCAUUACAAAUGCCAAGCGCAUGCUUAACAGCUGACGCACUACAGGGGAAUUAUCUGAGGAUUGGGUCUGGGGACGGGGACGGUGAGCACAAAAGUGAGUAGCAAAAUCGCAUUAUAAAGGUUUUAAGGGGCGAACCCCUUGAAAAUUGCGCAAAAUAUGCGAACUAGACUGGGAUGUUGAUGUGCGCUUACCCCCUCUUACCGGUACGGGCUGCCGCAGCCUGCCGAUUAAAUUUGAAAACUUGCCAAAAGGCAGAGAAGGACAACAACGAAGGAUAUUUUGCAAACAAAUAAUAAAAAUCCAAUUUUACAUUUAAUCACGCGCUCAGUCAAACAAAAGAAGAAAAAAAAAUGAAUAAAAGAGCAGAAAUAAACUUUCCAGGCAACGCCUGCUGUCGCACAGAACACGCUGGCAUCUCUUCGGGUCCAACCCCCGUACCAGCAGCCAUCAAGUUGGAACGCGGCUCAAGGAUCAAGACUCAAGGCUCAAGCUCUCGUUGAAAAUUAGGCUGCUUAUUGUGGACCGCCCUCUUGCUUGCCACCCCUCCGCCCUCCGCCGUCCUCCACUCUUCCUUGCAAGAACCUUGCAUACGGCACACUGAAAAAAAUGUCAUUAUAAGUUUCAAAAGCGUGUUAAAUGUGCCAGCCAAAAGGGGUUUAGACCUGCACCGUGUCUCAACCCCGGUCGC